rnacentral:rRNA from 1 species
GUGAGGGCAGAUGCAAGCCAGCUGGGAUAGGAUCCCGUUGUGCCAUGCACACCACCGCCACCUCCCGGCCACUCUGUUGGGGAGAUGGAGCAUGAGCAUGUGUGAUGGGACCCGAAAAGUGGUGAACUUUGCCUGGGCAGGGCAAAGCCAGAGAGAUCUCUGGUGGCGGUCCAUAGCUGUCCUCUCAUGCAAAAAAGUUGUCUGACCUGGGUAUAGGGGCCGAAGAACAAUCAAACACCUCAUAACUGGUUGCCUCUGAAGCCUUCCUUCAGGAUAGCUGGUUCUGAUACCACAUUUUAAUCUGGUGAGAAAAUGAUUGGAAGUCAAAACGAUCUCAAACUAUUCUUAGAUUUUAUAUCAGUGUGGAGCCUGUCUCGCUAACAUGAAGCCAGUCAUCAAAUUGCAGUCCCAGUGUGUUGCUCAUGGUAUGCAGAACUGGUACUACAGGGUGAACCAAAACCAGGUUAAGGCACACAUGCAGAUGCUUAUCAGACUCCAGAAAAGUUGUUGGUCGAUAUAGGAAGCAGAACGGUUGUGUUCAGAAUCUGCUAAGGAAUGUGUAAGAACUCAACUAACAAAUCAACCAGUCCUUGCAAUGGAUGGCGCUGGACUGUUGGCCCAUACCUAGCCUCUGCUGGCGCUGAGAGACGCAGGGUCUAAGCUGCGAUAACUAGGAGGGCUGCAGCAGUGUAGAAGGUGCCGAGUCGAGUGCCCGGGUGGAGUCUCCGCAAAUAUUAAAACAAAAACUUUGAAGGAGUAGUGGAGAAGGGUACAAUAUAAACACCCUUUCAACAUAGGUUAGUCAUUUCUAAGAGAUGAGGGUGCACCAUUUGGAAAGGACAGGCAAUGUUGCCCCCAGCUGAUCAAAAGAGAUUCGGGUUCAGAGAGAGGAGCCCAGGCCUUGGAAAGCAUUACAGUUUGGGCAGUGUACAGUGAGCUCUCGCUGGUGCUUGUUAAUCCAGUGGAGAAGGUGCAAAUCUUGCACAGGCACAUACCCAUAUCUGCAGCAGGGCUCCAAGCUGUACUGCUCUGGCAUGUUCGAAUACUGUAGAUAAGGGAAGUUGGCAAGUCAGAUCCAUAACUCAGAAUGAGAAUUGUCUCUAAGGCUGGGUGGGUCAGGCUGUUUCAUAUAGCGGGGCUUCUCGCACACCACAGCUGGAGGAGGAAUUUCCCACUGGGGGCCCUGCCAACUCUGGAAUUGAGCCAGCCCUCAAUGUGGAUUGGCUCAGCUUGGUGGUGGCCUCUCCCUGUUUUUCCUCCCAGGUUUCUGGGCCGGCGUUCUGCCUCAGCCGACACCUAGCCACUGACUGAGAACUGUUGCAUACCAGGGCAACCCAAUGGUUUAAUCGAAACAAGGCAUCACAAAGGCCUGCAGCAGGUGUUGACACAAAGGGCCUCAUCACGAGUUGGGCAGUAACAGUGGCGGUAUUACACCGGCGCUAUUAGCCCUACCGCCAAACCCCUGGCACUAUUAGCGCCGGAUCACGGGUUUGGCGGAACGGUUAGUGCCCAUUCCCCAUUGAGCCCAUUCGAGAAUUUCCCAUUCCCCAUUGGCCGAAUGGAGAAUGUUCACGCUAUUACUGCUGGCGGAUUUCCCGCGGCGGUAUUAGCACCAAAAAUUGGCAAAAUUGCAGCAGAUUUGCCCCCAGCUCAGAGCUGGGGGGGAAAUCCGCCAAGGCUGUGAUUUGGCGGACCCUUAAAUGCAGCAGUAAUACAUUACUGCCACAUUUAAGGGUUACCGCCAAACUCGCGAUGAGGCCAAAGUCUGAAUUUCAAAGUGAAGAAAUUUAAUGAAGCGCAGGUAAGACAGCGGGAGAAAAUAUGACUUAAGUGGCCAAAUGCCACGUCAUCUCAUUGGUGUCAAGCAAGAAUGGAUGAGCGGGAUUCCCACUGUCCCUACCUACUAUCUAGUAAGCCAAAAUGGGCUUAGCUGAAUCAGCGGGGAUAGUAGACACUGUUGAGCUUGACUCUAGUCUGGCAUUGUGAGGAUACAUGAGAGAUGUACGAUAGGUGAUAGGCCCUUGCGAGCAGUGAAAUACCACGAUGUUAUCAUUUUCAGUUGCCAAAUGAGGCCAGGGUGGCGGCCCCAUUGGGGCUCUCACUUCUGUCUCCAAGAACCCAGCUCCAGCCAGGCGUGACCUUUCUGGUUAUAUUGCACAGGUGUCCUAUGGCAAGCUCAGGAGGACAAGCACAUCCCAUGGAGAUAAAGGGUAAACGCUUGUUAGAUCUCACUUUUACAUAUGUAGACAGACGGUGUAAGCAGGGCCACACAAUUCUUCUGACUUUUUGUGUUUCCAGCAGAAGGUUUCAGACAAUUAGCACAGGAUAACUGCCUUGUGAUGGCAAAGCAUUCAUAGCAACUUCACAUUUUGAUCCUUCCAUGUUGGCUCUUCCUUUCAUUGCAAAGCACAUUUCAUUAAGCGUUAGAUUGCUCACCCACUAAUAGGGAACAUGAGCUGGGUUUAGGCCAUAGUGUGAUGGGUUAGUUUUACCCUGCUGAUGAUGUGUUGUUUCAAUAGUAAUGGUGUUCAGUAUGAGAGAAACGAAACGUUCAGACAUUUGGUGCAUGUGCAUGGCCCGAAGAUGCCAUCUGUGGAAUUAUGACUGAAUGCGUCUAAAUCAGAAUCCCCCUAAACUACAAUGGUAAAGCAGCACUGAGGAGCGUUGGUUGGGCUUGGAUAGCCAGCCUUUGGGCCGGUGCAUAGAGCUGCUUGCCUCAGGACACUAGUUUGGACAGAAGGGGGCAACCUCUCUUGCCCAUAGU